rnacentral:rRNA from 1 species
GANNGGNNGNGUGAGAUUUUCCAGGNGUAGCNGCUGACANAUGUGUAGAAGAUNAUGAANGGANAACCGGGCGGNGAAGNGCGGGCCCCCCGGGACAGAUAUUGACACUCNGAUGCGAAAGGCGUGGGGAGCNAACAGGAUUAGAUACCCUGGUAGUUCCACGCCGUAAACGAUGUCUACUUGGAGGUUGUGGCCUUGAGCCGUGGCUUUCGGAGCUAACGCGUUAAGUAGACCGCCUGGGGAGUACGGUCGCAAGAUUAAAACUCAAAUGAAUUGACGGGGGCCCGCACAAGCGGUGGAGCAUGUGGUUUAAUUCGAUGCAACGCGAAGAACCUUACCUACUCUUGACAUCUACAGAAGCCAGCGGAGACGCAGGUGUGCCUUCGGGAACUGUAAGACAGGUGCUGCAUGGCUGUCGUCAGCUCGUGUUGUGAAAUGUUGGGUUAAGUCCCGCAACGAGCGCAACCCUUAUCCUUGUUUGCCAGCACUUCGGGUGGGAACUCCAGGGAGACUGCCGGUGAUAAACCGGAGGAAGGUGGGGACGACGUCAAGUCAUCAUGGCCCUUACGAGUAGGGCUACACACGUGCUACAAUGGCGCAUACAGAGGGCGGCCAACUUGCGAAAGUGAGCGAAUCCCAAAAAGUGCGUCGUAGUCCGGAUUGGAGUCUGCAACUCGACUCCAUGAAGUCGGAAUCGCUAGUAAUCGUGGAUCAGAAUGCCACGGUGAAUACGUUCCCGGGCCUUGUACACACCGCCCGUCACACCAUGGGAGUGGGCUGCAAAAGAAGUGGGUAGUUUAACCUUCGGGAGGACGCUCACCACUUUGUGGUUCAUGACUGGGGUGAAGUCGUAACAAGGUAACCG